GUUUGUGUGUGUGUGUGUGCGUUGUGUGGUGGAGACAGGUUUAUACCCAAACACCUGUGACAAGAAAGGACAAGCAGAAAACGGAGAGGUGACUGUUUGUGUGUGUGUGCUUGUGUGGUGGAGACAGGUUUAUACCCAAACACCUGUGACAAGAAAGGACAAGCAGAAAACGGAGAGGUUGUGUGUGUGUGCGUUGUGUGGUGGAGACAGGUUUAUACCCAAACACCUGUGACAAGAAAGGACAAGCAGAAAACGGAGAGGUGACUGUUUGUGUGUGUGUGCUUGUGUGGUGGAGACAGGUUUAUACCCAAACACCUGUGACAAGAAAGGACAAGCAGAAAACGGAGAGGUGACUGGUCAUGUGACCGGAUGGAAUGACUCGAUCUACUAACAUGGAAGCAAGACACCAUUAAGAGAGGAAACAAACAGCACACAAUAGGUCAGUACUGACAUCUAACAGCAGGUCAGGCAGGACUGACAGCAGGUCAGGAAGGUCUGACAUCUAACAGCAGGUCAGGCAGGUCAUUAAUUGCAAUUAUCACUGAAGGGAGUGUGGUGCGCUUACAAGAGUAUAUUGGACACUGGAUCUAACCAAAGAUAACAGAGAGAGAGAGAGAGAGAGAAUACAUUAAAAUGAAUAUUGUUAAUUAAUCACAGUGUUUAAGUGAACACAAUCUUAGAAGUAGACCUGGAAGAUUAGGAAGUGGAUGUUUACAUUAUUAAUACACUGUUUUACAAGCAGAACAGAUUUUCAACAGUAGUCAUGAUGGGAAGCUAUGCAAUGGCUCUAUCCUUACCACACUGUCCAGUCCAUUUCUAAAAUAUAGUUUUUAAAAAGUGUUCUUGGUAAAAUAACUACUCACCCAUAUAUAUAUAUAUAUAGCUACUGACAACUGACCCUAUUACAAACAGUGGAGACAAAACUAAUGAUAACUAACUCCUACAAACAGUGGAGACAAAACUAAUGAUAACUAACAACUAACUCCUACAAACAGUGGAGACAAAACUAAUGAUAACUAACUCCUACAAACAGUGGAGACAAAACUAAUGAUAACUAACUCCUACAAACAGUGGAGACAAAACUAAUGAUAGCUAACUCCUACAAACAGUGGAGACAAAACUAAUGAUAACUAACUCCUACAAACAGUGGAGACAAAACUAAUGAUAACUAACUCCUACAAACAGUGGAGACAAAACUAAUGAUAACUAACUCCUACAAACAGUGGAGACAAAAGUGCUGAUGCUACUCAAAACUAACCCUUGUAAGUAUCACCUUUGGUGCCCCAGCCACCACCACCACAACUAAUACAGCACACACAAUACAAGAAAAAGUAUUGGGGAUUGGGGGAGGGGCAGUCUUUGAACUUUGAACUGAUAUAUAUCGAUGUCUAUUACAGAAAUGAAAGCUGGCAAUAAAACAAACAAAAUGUGUAUGUGUGUAUGUGAUAUACAGAACAAACAUUAUAUAGAUCAGGACAUGGUGUUAACCAAUCAAUAACAACAUCUGGUGAAGUGAAGUUGAUUAUUGGUCAGGCUUGUUACAUGUAGCUUUUAUAAAUAGAACUGAAAGUAUCUUGUUACCAGCCUAAGUCUAAAGCAGCAGACACAUGGUCCUUGACCUUCUCAACAUAGAACAUUAGUUCUGGCAUACAAUUUGUGUAUGCAGCUGGCACACUCAUGGGUCAAACAAUAACAAAAAGAAGCUAAAACACUUUAAUGGAAUUUGUUACUGAAGGUUUAAGAGAAACCAGGAAAGAAAAAUCUAGUAGUCCUUAUCAAAGGGAGGUAGCUGAGGAUAAAACAGUUGGACAGUGAGCAAAGAAUGCUUCAACACUCUGUGAAUGAUACAGUGAACCAUGACCUACAGCACUGCAGGGAGUUCGUAUAGUCAGCCUG
rnacentral:sRNA from 1 species